rnacentral:snRNA from 1 species
AUACUUACCUGGCAGGGGGGAUACCAUGAUCACGAAGGAGGUUUUCCCAGGGCGAGGCUCACUCUUUGCAUUCCGGAUGUGCUGACCCCUGAGGUUUCCUCAAAUGAGGGAAACUCGACUGCAUAACUUGUGGUAGCGGGGGACUGCGUUGGCACUUUCCCCUG